GUGAGGAAUAUUGGACAAUGGGCGCAAGCCUGAUCCAGCCAUGCCGCGUGCAGGAAGACGCAUCUAUGGUGUGUAAACUGCUUUUGUACGGGAAGAAACACUCCCUCGUGAGGGAGCUUGACGGUACCGUAAGAAUAAGGAUCGGCUAACUCCGUGCCAGCAGCCGCGGUAAUACGGAGGAUCCAAGCGUUAUCCGGAAUCAUUGGGUUUAAAUGGUCCGUAGGCGGUUUAAUAAGUCAGUGGUGAAAGCCCAUCGCUCAACGAUGGAACGGCCAUUGAUACUGUUAGACUUGAAUUACAAGGAAGUAACUAGAAUAUGUAGUGUAGCGGUGAAAUGCUUAGAUAUUACAUGGAAUACCAAUUGCGAAGGCAGGUUACUACUUGUGGAUUGACGCUGAUGGACGAAAGCGUGGGGAGCGAACAGGAUUAGAAACCCGAGUAGUCC
rnacentral:rRNA from 1 species